rnacentral:rRNA from 1 species
CGGAAUUACUGGGCGUAAAGCGUGCGCAGGCGGUUGUGCAAGACCGAUGUGAAAUCCCCGAGCUUAACUUGGGAAUUGCAUUGGUGACUGCACGGCUAGAGUGUGUCAGAGGGGGGUAGAAUUCCACGUGUAGCAGUGAAAUGCGUAGAGAUGUGGAGGAAUACCGAUGGCGAAGGCAGCCCCCUGGGAUAACACUGACGCUCAUGCACGAAAGCGUGGGGAGCAAACAGGAUUAGAUACCCUGGUAGUCCACGCCCUAAACGAUGUCAACUAGUUGUUGGGGAUUCAUUUCCUUAGUAACGUAGCUAACGCGUGAAGUUGACCGCCUGGGGAGUACGGUCGCAAGAUUAAAACUCAAAGGAAUUGACGGGGACCCGCACAAGCGGUGGAUGAUGUGGAUUAAUUCGAUGCACGCGAAAAACCUUACCUACCCUUGACAUGCCACUAACGAAGCAGAGAUGCAUUAGGUGCUC